AUUGAACGCUGGCGGCAUGCCUUACACAUGCAAGUCGAACGGCAGCACGGGUGCUUGCACCUGGUGGCGAGUGGCGAACGGGUGAGUAAUACAUCGGAACAUGUCCUGUAGUGGGGGAUAGCCCGGCGAAAGCCGGAUUAAUACCGCAUACGAUCUACGGAUGAAAGCGGGGGACCUUCGGGCCUCGCGCUAUAGGGUUGGCCGAUGGCUGAUUAGCUAGUUGGUGGGGUAAAGGCCUACCAAGGCGACGAUCAGUAGCUGGUCUGAGAGGACGACCAGCCACACUGGGACUGAGACACGGCCUAGACUCCUACGGGAGGCAGCAGUGGGGAAUUUUGGACAAUGGGCGAAAGCCUGAUCCAGCAAUGCCGCGUGUGUGAAGAAGGCCUUCGGGUUGUAAAGCACUUUUGUCCGGAAAGAAAUCCUUGGCCCUAAUACGGUCGGGGGAUGACGGUACCGGAAGAAUAGGCACCGGCUAACUACGUG
rnacentral:rRNA from 1 species